rnacentral:lncRNA from 1 species
CGCUUAAACCGAAUUUUCUCUCACAAUUGAAAUGUUCAAGAUUGCGGAAUAAAAACUGGCAAAGUGAUGUUUCGAAUGUGUACGGGACGGUGUCGUCAGAUACUGUCCAUAGUUGUGCCGAUGAUUUUCGAUGAGGUACAGCUCUCCACGCUUUUGUCUUCUAAAUUUUCCUCAUCGAGCAUGCAGGGGAAAAUUAGCAGACAAAGAAAUCUUUUGUUUUCAACUAAAUUUCCCGGGGAAAUUUUUAGAAGACAAAAGCGCGCGUAUGCAUGGGUAGUGAGGGAAAUAUACGUGAUUAAACGUCCCUGUCGAAACAAAAGAAACCGAGACUACCAUGUGUUUACUAGAAUAAACCCAACAAAAUUUAGAAUUUCCAAAAUAUCAUAUUGUACCCCCUCCCCCUACCGCUAAUUCAGGACACUUUUGGGGUGCCCCCUUGUUAACAUUCCAGGACUACACCACUGUCACUGAGUUACAACUAAUUACAGAGUAUAGAAUUACAAGUAUUAUCUAAGGAAGAAAGGGAGCGGAAGUACAUAG